AGAUGUUUUGGGACUACAACUCUCAUCUUCCCUGACCACUGGUCCUGUUAGCUAGGGAUGAUGGGAGUUGUAGUCCCAAAGCAUCU